CAUAGCGAUUCCAUUAGUUAGAUUAAGGAAAGCAAUUAUUUGUAAUACAGUCUAUUUAACUUGGAUCUACAUGAGAAGAUAGCUCAUUCCUGGUUAUAAUGUGGUUGUAAAAACUUUACUCAUGUGCAGUGGGCAAUCUGUGGGCUGAAAGAUUAAAAACCCUGAACACAUUUCUUCUGGUUCUGUGGGCUGUGCUUAACAUGGUAACCCUGCAGCCUGAAUGAAGAUGGCAAUUGAGCAGUUAGCCACUGCACCAGUAAAUACAGUCAUCUAGCAUGCAGGCAACGGUGAAGCACAGGGUAUUGGCCCUUCCAUCAUUCUUCCUGAAAAAAGCAAGCAAAUGUACUCUACUAGAUGCUGGGAAAACAGCAAAAAGAGACAAAGAUUCCUGUUCUCAUGUGGCUGAUAGUAAGAAAGAUAGAAAAUCAAGGAAAAGAAGAUGGAGUUUCGUUCUGUUGCCAGGCUGGAGUAUAGUGGUACGAUCUUGGCUCACUGCAACCUCUGCCUCCUGGGUUCAAGUGAUUCUCCUGCCUCAACCACCUGAGUAAGUGGGACUACAGGCGUGCACCAUCAGGCCCAGCUAAUUUUUGUAUUUUUAGUAGAGAUGGGGUUUCACCAUGUUGGCCAGGAUGGUCUGGAUCUCUUGACCUCAUGAUCUGCCUGUCUUGGCCUCCCAAAGCUCUGGGAUUGCAGGCAUGAGCCACUGCACCCAGCCUGUUGGGGCUUCUUUUGCAGCCUCACAUGUGGUUAAUCCAGGGAAAUGUUCUAUAUCCUGAUGAAAAGAAAGUAUAUACUGCAGUUGUUGGGUAGAAUUUCUGUAAAUGUCUGUUAUGUUCAUUUGGUCUAAAGUCCAGUUUAAAUUCAAUGUUUCUUUGUUGAUUUUUUGUCUAGAUCUGUCUCAUGCUGAGGGUAGGAUGUUGAAGUUCCCCACUAUUACUGUAUUUAUGUCUAUUUCUGUCUUUAGAUUCAGCAACAUAUGCUUUAUAAAUCUGAGUGCUCCAAUGUUGGGUGCAUAUAUAUUUAGAAUUGUUAUGUCCUCUUGCUGGAUUGAUCCCCUUAUCAUAUAAUGACCUUUUUUGUCUAAUUGUUUUUGAUUUAGUUUUUUUGAUCUUAUGUAAGUAUAGCUACUCCUUCUUGCUUUUGGUUUCCAUUGGCAUAAAUUACCUUUUUCCAUCCCUUUACUUUCAGUCUACAUAUGUCUCUACUGGUAAGUACAUUUUUUGUAAGCAAACUAUUGUAUCAUUUUUUUAAAAUUCCACUCAGCCAUUCUAUAUCUUUUAAGCAGAGAAUUUAAUUCUUUACAUUUAAAGUUAUAAUUGAUAUGUGAGGCUUUGUUAUUAUCACAUUGUUAAUUAUUUUCUGGUUGUUAUUUAUAUUCUCUAUUACUUUCCUUUUCUCUUAUUAUUAGUCUUUGUGAUUUGGUGGAUUUCUGUGGUGGUAUCAUUUGGAUCCCUUAUCUUCCUCCUUUGUGUGAUUGCUUUACCAGUGAGUUUUAUACUGUCAUGUGUCUUCAUGAUGGCAAAUGUCAUCCUUUCACUUCCAGGCUUAGAACCCCCAUGAGCAUUUCUUGUAGGCCAGUCUAGUGGUAAUAAAUUCCCUCAGUAUUUUAUUACCCCUUCAUUUAAGAAGAAUAAUUUUUCUAGACACAGGAUUCUUAGUUGAUGGGGUUCUUUUUUUUCUCAGCACUUUGGUUUUUUAUAUAUAUUUAGAAUAGUUAGGCAUUACCUAGUAGAUUUGAACUCUGACCCAGUAAUUCAAUUUCUAGGCAUGUUCCUCAGAGGAACUCUUCAACACAUAUACAAGGAGGCACAUAGAAGAAUGUUCACAGUGACAUUGUUUAUAAACUAAAAACCUGGAAACAAACCAAACACCUGUCACUGAUAGCCCAAAUAUGUAACUUAUAUUGUAUUCAUAUAAUGGAAGAUACUCAACAGUGAAACUGAAUUAACUUCACUUAUAUGUACCAACAUGGAGAAAUCUCCAAAAUAUACCAUGAGUGAAGUAAGAAGUAUCUGAACAAUAUAUAAAGCAUAAAGUAUGAAUAAUAGAUGAUUUUAGAGACAUAUACAGAAGUAAUAAAACCAUAAAGAAAGGCAAGGGAAGGAUUAAUUAAAAAAUUCAUGAUGACGCUUUUAUCUCCAGGAUAGGUCGGGGUAAGGGGGAAGUU